CCUACGGGAGGCAGCAGUGGGGAAUAUUGGACAAUGGGCGCAAGCCUGAUCCAGCCAUGCCGCGUGUGUGAAGAAGGCCUUCGGGUUGUAAAGCACUUUUGUCCGGAAAGAAAUCCAAUCGAUUAAUACUCGGUUGGGAUGACGGUACCGGAAGAAUAAGCACCGGCUAACUUCGUGCCAGCAGCCGCGGUAAUACGAAGGGUGCAAGCGUUACUCGGAAUUACUGGGCGUAAAGCGUGCGUAGGUGGUUCGUUAAGUCUGAUGUGAAAGCCCUGGGCUCAACCUGGGAAUGGCAUUGGAUACUGGCGACCUAGAGUGCGGUAGAGGGGUGCGGAAUUCCCGGUGUAGCAGUGAAAUGCGUAGAUAUCGGGAGGAACAUCCGUGGCGAAGGCGGCACCCUGGACCAGCACUGACACUGAGGCACGAAAGCGUGGGGAGCA
rnacentral:rRNA from 1 species